rnacentral:rRNA from 1 species
AGCAGCCGCGGUAAUUCCAGCUCCAAUAGCGUAUAUUAAAGUUGUUGCAGUUAAAAAGCUCGUAGUUGAAUUUCGGGGUUAGUAGAUUGGUCAUGCCUCUGGUAUGUACUGGUCUCACUGAUUCCUCCUUCCUGAUGAACCUUAAUGCCAUUAAUUUGGUGUUUUGGGGAAUUUGGACUGUUACUUUGAAAAAAUUAGAGUGUUUAAAGCAAGCUAACGCUUGAAUACAUUAGCAUGGAAUAAUGAAAUAGGACGUUCGAUCCUAUUUUGUUGGUUUCUAGGAUUGACGUAAUGAUUAAUAGGGAUAGUUGGGGGCAUUAGUAUCCAAUUGUCAGAGGUGAAAUUCUUGGAUUUAUUGAAGACUAACUACUGCGAAAGCAUUUGCCAAGGAUGUUUUCAUUAAUCAAGAACGAAAGUUAGGGGAUCGAAGACGAUCAGAUACCGUCGUAGUCUUAACCAUAAACUAUGCCGACUAGGGAUCGGAUGAUGUUAAUUUUUUAAUGACUCA